rnacentral:rRNA from 1 species
UACGAAGGGGCUAGCGUUGCUCGGAAUCACUGGGCGUAAAGGGUGCGUAGGCGGCGCGGAUAGUCGGCGGUGAAAGCCCGGAGCUCAACUCCGGGUCGGCCGUCGAUACUUCCGGGCUUGAGCACUGUAGAGGCAGAUGGAAUUCCGGGUGUAGCGGUGGAAUGCGUAGAGAUCCGGAAGAACACCGGUGGCGAAGGCGGUCUGCUGGGCGAGU